rnacentral:rRNA from 1 species
UACGUAGGGUGCAAGCGUUAAUCGGAAUUACUGGGCGUAAAGCGUGCGCAGGUGGUCCAUUAAGCCCGGCGUGAAAGCCCCCGGCUCAACCGGGGAGGGUCGUCGGGGACUGGUGGACUUGAGGGCGGCAGGGGCUGGUGGAAUCCCCGGUGUAGUGGUGAAAUGCGUAGAGAUCGGGGGGAACACCCGUGGCGAAGGCGGCCAGCUGGGCCGACCCUGACACUGAGGCGCGAAGGCGUGGGGAGCGAACGGG